UGGGGCGUCGCCAAGCGGUAAGGCAGCGGAUUUUGAUUCCGCCAUGCGGAGGUUCGAAUCCUCCCGCCCCAG
rfam:Methylocella silvestris BL2, complete genome.